GGUCCACUCGGCAGGUGUGCAGCCACAGGGUGCGAGCGAGAGCUCUUUAGGACAGAGCGACCUGGACAUCUCUGAAAAUGAAAAACUGCCGUGAGAAACUUGCUACAGACACAAACCGUCAAAAUGCUGAAGCUUUCUGAUGGGUGAUCUUCGUUUAUUUCUCCAGACGAUGCAGGCGAAGUGAUUAUUUCUAGAACUCACCUCUUUAAAUGCUCUCAAUCGUUGGAGUGUUUUUUGGCGCUCUUGGUUUAUCCAUUCUUUUUUCUUUUGCUCCUCCUCUUUUUUCUGGUCUCUUUUCUGUAUUUAAACAAACACAUACUUGUAAACUUCUCAGAAGUUCUGAGAAAGAGAGGGACUGUCACCUGACCUUACUGCCUCCUCUGGCCCCCACGUCUGCCCCCCACGCUGCAGGGCCAGACAGCACUGUCCCCUCACGAUCAAGGCUGACGGGGCAGCGGAGCUCCACUUUGCACAAACUUAAGCCCGUGUGUCAUGUUAUGCAAAUAUAAAACAUUUUUCUUCAACCACUCACCCUCUGAACGCUAUGAUGCUGAUGAAAAUAUUUUAUGCUUUCUUCAGCCUGCUGCAAUCUGAGUCGAUGAUUUUCUUUGCAUUGAUCCUAGGGGAAUAAUAUAAUUUCAUAGAUCUGUUUUUCACUUGGUUAUAAAUUGAACGCCACAUGGUUUUUAAUAUUACCAUGGGCUAUAGCAUAAAAGGUUAAAAGAAAAAAGCACUGCAUUGGGGCUGCAGUAUAAAGCAUUUAUUAAUAGGAGUUAUGGUGUGGCUCAUUGCUUCUGCCUUCUCCUCGGUCACGUGAUACGGGGCAGUGGGCUGCUUACGGGAAUCCCUCCUUCCUGGUAGGAGGGCCACGGCUGGGAUUUAGUGCUUUGAGAGAUGAAAAAGCAAAUCCUCCAAACAAGUGGAAAUGAGAGGACAUACAGGCAGUCCCACAUUCCUAAGUGGGAUGUGUCCUAAGGAUCUGUUUCAAUGCAAUUAUUUUAAACACAUUUCCCCAUAAUGUUCUAAGUGAUAUCUCCAAAUAUACCUACGUAACACAUCCAACCUACAAUACCUGAAAAAUUAUAUUAAGAACUACAUCUCAAUUAUGCUUAGCCAUUCUUAGUAUGUUACCUUUUUAUGUAAUCACGGAGUGUUUAAAAAUUAAGAAAAAAAUCACUCACCGCAUAUAAGGACUGAAAUGAGCUGAAUAUUAUCUGACUGAUAUUUUAUAAUCAACAGUUCACAAUAAAAUUAAUUUUAGCAUUUAUUAUAGCUGAUUAGAAGUUUCUACCUAUUGUGGUUUUUAAAAUACCUGUGUAAGUAAUAGGCAUUCAAUAAAUAGUUGUUGAAAGACUUAAUUAAAAUCUAAAGAUGAUGGCAAAAGCUUAAAUCCAAAAGGAAAAAGAAUCUUAAGAAAAACAUUUUAAAUGUAUUUUAAUUGUAUCCACUGAUAGCUACAUAAACACACACAAAAUUAAUCAUUGAUAAAAAGCCUUAUUUUCAAUACCUCUUUAUCUUUCAUAAAAGAAGAAACCCUUAGAAGGGGUAAGAAAAGAAAGCUGCCCUGGGCACUCCUACCUUUCUGUUCCUGAGACGGGCUCUUCUGGCACAGAUCCUGCCCCGUUUAGAUUCCAGCUGCUGGCACUGCCGGCUGAGUUCCUUCACCUCCAGAUUCUUAUCAUCCUGCAGCCCCAUUACAUGAUCCAUGACUUUAAGUUCCUCUGGAUUUUCACAUGGAUCAUAAUAGAUAACUUCAUCCUGUUUAUCUAGAAACAUAUUAAUGAUUUCUUAAAAAUAUGUCUUAUUAUUAAAAAUAAUGCAUACUUUUUCUAAUGUAAGGAAAGUUAAAUAUCCUUGUAAUUAUGAUUAACAUUUAUGUAUAUGUAUAUCUAUGUGUACACACAUACACACACACACAACUUAUAUAGCUACACAUAUCAAUAAACAGAAUUCUUAGAGAAACUUUUCCAUGUGAUGGAAAUAUAAUUUUAAUGGCAACACAGUAUUCUCAAAUUUAAGCACUCUCUGUUGUUAGAAUAUUCCAGUGUUCUAUUAUUAUCAAUUUCACUGUGAUGAACAUCUGAAUAUAAAUCUUUGUGUACAUUUUUUAUUACUUCCUUAGCAGAUGAAUAUUUAAGGCUCUUGAUGACUCUUGUCAAAUCACCCUCCUCCAGAAAGGCAACUUACAUUCCACCAGCAGUAUAUCAUUAAGGUGCCUUAAUGAUAUUUAAUCUUAAUUACAUAUUGAUUUUUUAAAAAUACAUGCUAACUGUAACAAAUUCAAGCCCUACAGAAGUACACAAAAUAAAAAGUGAAAUUUCCCUCUUCCUUCACCAACUCUUUGGCAUCUUAUUCCCAGAGGAAAACAUGGACAGUUUGGCAUGCAUCCUUCCAGAUUAACUUUUUUCUAAUAGAAGUUUUUCCUAAAUAUGUAAAAUGCUUAUAACGUGAAGCUACUGUAAAGUUUUUUGAAUAUCUAGGAUUAAAUUAAAUGUUCAGGAUCUAUAUGAAGAAAAUAACUAAACUUGGAGGAACUUUAGGGAAAAAAAGACUUAAGUAAAUGGAGAGACAUACCAUGUUCUUGGAUGGGAAGAUUCAAAAUUGAAAAGAUGACAAUUCUCCCCAAAUUAUCUCUAAUGUUAAGUGCAAUCCCAAUAAAAAUUCCGAGUUUUUGGGGUUUUUUUGUUUUGAACUUGCCAAAAUGAUUCUAAAGUUCAUCUGGAAGAAUAAAGGAGUGAGAAAAGUCAGAAAAUUUUUGGAAAAGUAGAGUAAUGAGGGAAGUACUUGCUUUACCUGAUACUAAAAUGUACCUCCAAGGUACAAUAAUAGAAACAGCAUGGUACUGGCACCAGAAGCCACUCACAAAUCAGUGAAAGAAAAUAACAAUUCAUAAAUAGAUCAAAACAAAUAUGAUAAUUCUGGAUAUGAGACAGGUAAAACUCAAAGCAAAGCAACAGGGGAAAAUGUUUUUAAAAACUAGUGAUUGGGACUGCUAACAAUUUGGGGGGAAAAGUUAGAUUCCUACCCCACAUCAAAAUAAAUUUCACCUGGGUUAAAGAGCCAAAUGUUUUUAAAAACAAAAUCAUAAGAAUACUGAAAUAAAACAUAAGUAAAUACUGAUAUAAUUUUGGGAUAAGGAGGUAUAACACCAAAGCAGAAGACUGAUAGAGGUGACUUCAUAAUAAUUAAAUAUUCCUACAAGGCAAGAAAAAGCAAAUGACAGAGAAAUUAUUUGCAACAUAUGACAGAUAAUAGAAUAACAUCUCUAAUAUAGAAAGGGAAUGUUCCAAAGAAAAAUGGUCAAAGGCCAUGAAUAGGCCAUGAAUAAAUGAAAUACAAAUGGCCAGUAAACAUACAAAAUUGCGUUCAACAUCACUUGUGAUUAAAUAAAUGAAAAUUAGAAGAUGCCAUUUUUUGCUCUCAAGUAGGUGAGAAUUUAAAUGAAUAAGUAUGGGGAAAAAGCUAUUUUAUAAUCAGCUGAUGGGAGCAUCAUUUUGUACAACCUGUCUAGAGGGCCAUUAUGUAGAAUGAAAUUUAGAAAUUUAGAAAAUAAUAGAGGUGCAGAAAAAUGCAUAUCAAAUGAUUCUUGUAGUUUUUUUUUUAACAAGUAUGUGUCAAAAUGUAAAACAUGCAUUGUCCUUGACCUGAUUCCAUCUUUAGAAAUUUAUUCCAAGGAAAUAAUCUGUUGUAUACACAAAGACAUGUGUAAAGGAAGGUUCUUCACUACAAUGCUGUUCACAACAGUGAAAAACUGGAAAUCCCUGCAUGUCUAUACAAUGGAAUACUAUGCAGCCAUUAAAAUUUUUGAUGGUUUUAUUACUUACUGAAAUGGAAGAAUGAUUAUUAUGUAUUAAGUGAAAAAGAGGUUACUGAACAGGAUACAUAGUUCUGGUUUAAGAAAUUGAAAGAUUUAUAAACAUCAGCAUACAAAAAAGGCUACAAAGCUAUAGAGCCUAAGUAUCUCUAAACGAUUUAACUGGGGUAAUAAUAGUUUCCCUUUGUUUUGCUGUGUGUUUACCAAUGAAUAUAUUAUUUGAAUAAUAAAGUACUAAAGGGAAACUUUGUUAGAAAAUUUCAGAUAUAUUAGACAAUAUACAAUAAUUGAUAAUAUGAUCUGUAUUUCCUUGAAUGUGUAAUUUAAGCAUAUAUACAUUUAAAUAUAUGUUUUACCUUUUAUAAGUCUUUUAAUAGAGUCCAACUGUGUAACAAGCAGUAUUUCUUCAUAUUUUAAUAUCUCAAAUUUAACCUCGUAUAGUUCUAACUGAACUUCAUAAUAUUGUAUUUCUAAUUCGUCUACAACAUUUAUUUUUUUUUCUUGUUCUGGAAGAUCUUCUAUCUUGUUUUCAUGAAAAAAAUAAGAGCAAGUUAAAAUAAUUAGUACAUUAAAGGCAAACUUUACAAGCAUUCAAGUUAUUUUCUAUUCCUUGCUCAAUAUCAAAUAUAAAAAAAGCAAAUAGAGAAGAAACACUUUUCCAUUUCAUUUAAUGGGAUAAAAAUGCCUUCUUCAAUGUUUGUCACAAAUACUUUAUCUCAUCCCUGAAAUAUAUGAAAACAUUUAGGUUUUGAGAAAAAUAAACGGCAAUGAGGUAUUUACAAAUGUUUUCUGCUUUAAAGUCAUAAUGUUACAGGAAAAAAAUUAAGUGACUAUGCUUCUAGGAUAAAGCACCUCUUUGAUUAUUCUAAAAUUGUGCUGAAAACACGGCUUGAUUGAUUUUAAACUACUGAGUACUUGAUUGAUUUUAAAGUACUACAUCAGUACUGAGUUUGAUGUUAUCGUCAAGUGAAUCCUACAAUAUAAUAUUUCACAAACAGGGACCUCCUUGGUGGCGCAGUGGUUAAGAAUACGCCUGCCAGUGCAGGGGACACAGGCUCGAUCCCUGGUCCAGGAAGAUCCCACAUGCCGUGGAGCAUAAGCCGAUGCCCCACAACUACUGAGCCUGCGCUCUAGAGCCUGUGAGCCACAACUACUGAGCCCACAGGCCUAGAGCUUGUGCUCCGCAACAAGAGAAGCCACCGCAAUGAGAAGCCAGCGCACCGCAAGGAAGAGUAGCCCCCGCUCACCACCACUAGAAAAAGCCUGCACGCACCAAUGAAGACCCAACAAAGCCAAAAACAAAUAAAUAAAUAAACAAUUAAAAAAAAAUAAUAUUUCACAAACAUUUUGACCAAAGGGAAACUUCACGGCCAACCUUCCACAGUCUGCAAAUUCUUAUCUACUGGAAGAUGGAAUAAGCAAAGAAAGGAAGCUCUUUCACAAUGCCUGGAAAGAAAGAUUCUACCUAAAAUAAAAGUAUAUUUUUAAAAGAAA